rnacentral:rRNA from 1 species
UACGAAGGGGGCUAGCGUUGCUCGGAAUCACUGGGCGUAAAGGGUGCGUAGGCGGGUCUUUUAAGUCAGGGGUGAAAUCCUGGAGCUCAACUCCAGAACUGCCUUUGAUACUGAGGAUCUUGAGUUCGGGAGAGGUGAGUGGAACUGCGAGUGUAGAGGUGAAAUUCGUAGAUAUUCGGCGGAACACCAGUGGCGAAGGCGACUCACUGGCCCGAUACUGACGCUGAGGCGCGAAAAGCGUGGGGAGCAAACAGG